GUACAUUAAUGGUCACCUAAAGUAACCGAGAUCCUUAUGCAGAUAUUGCUAUGACAUGCAGAUCUCAGCAUUUCCAAGGGAAGUAGAACAUUCAUGCUGGAUUCUUGUCAUUCAAUCACAUAUUUCACAGCCAUGGCUGUGACUUGGUUGCUGUUUUAACCCAGUUUGAUUAAACUGUUCACAUCUCUAUUCAUCUUACAGAGCUGGUGUGACUCAGUAUCAAAUGGCAUAAAACAGGAGGGAGCAUUGCUACCUCUGUUGGGGGAAUUGUUUGUGAGGCAUCAGACUCCUUCAGGGAAGAAUCUUGGCCCUGUCCAUCUGGGAGAAAUGGGGCAGGAGUUUGCUUGAGAGCAUGCAUGUUAGUUUACAAUGUCUGUGCCAGCCCACACAGGGAGGUGGUCUUCUCCCUCAUAGUACCCAUCUGGAGAUGCAACGUGCCAGUCCAAGAUGAGAGGCACCACUGAAAGGACUCAGUUUUGGAAUGGACCCUAUGAAUCGUCUACAUCCAAGCCUCUCUGCACGUUCAAGAUACGAAUACAGAACCUUGGGCUUUAAACAUACUCAAAUACUGCAAGACUUGUAAUAAAAAUGGAGUUUUUACAACACUUGCAUAAGUACAGCUUCCAUUCCAGUUCAAGAGCAGGUUGGGUCCUUAGCUCAGAAAGUCACUUCUAAAGAACCAAAGAUCAUUCUUUCCCAUCUUCCACUGAGUUCCACCAAGGGAAAGAAUUUAGAAGAAACUUAUUUACUGCUGCAGGCUGAACCUGUCUUUUCUCUGAAUCUGUUUCUCUUUUUCAUCUAAACUGUACAAAAAUAGGCAGUA